rnacentral:rRNA from 1 species
CCUACGGGAGGCAGCAGUGGGGAAUAUUGCACAAUGGGGGAAACCCUGAUGCAGCGACGCCGCGUGAGUGAAGAAGUAAUUCGUUACGUAAAGCUCUAUCAGCAGGGAAGAAAAUGACGGUACCUGAGUCAGAAGCCCCGUGCAACUACGUGCCAGAAGCCGCGGUAAUGCGUAGGGGGCAAGCGUUAUCCGGAUUUACUGGGGGUAAAGGGAGCGUAGACGGUGCGACAAGUCUGGAGUGAAAUGCCGGAGGUUAAAUGCGGAACUGCUUUUGAAACUGGCGAACUAGAGUGCGAGAGGGGGAAGCGGAAUUCCUAGUGUAGCGGUGAAAUGCGUAGAUAUUAGGAGGAACCCCGGUGGCGAAGGCGGCUUACUGGACCGUAACUGACGUUGAGGCUCGAAAGCGUGGGGAGCAAACAGGAUUAGAUACCCCUGUAGUC